AUACGUAGGGGGCGAGCGUUGUCCGGAAUGAUUGGGCGUAAAGGGCGCGUAGGCGGCCCGGUAAGUCUGGAGUGAAAGUCCUGUUUUUAAGAUGGGAAUUGCUUUGGAUACUGUCGGGCUUGAGUGCAGGAGAGGUAAGUGGAAUUCCCAGUGUAGCGGUGAAAUGCGUAGAGAUUGGGAGGAACACCAGUGGCGAAGGCGACUUACUGGACUGUAACUGACGCUGAGGCGCGAAAGCAUGGGUAGCGAACAGGAUUAGAUACCCUGGUAGUCCAUGCCGUAAACGGUGGGCGCUAGGUGUGGGGGGACUGACCCCCUCCGUGCCGCAGUUAACACAAUAAGUAUUCCACCUGGGGAGUACGAUCGCAAGAUUGAAACUCAAAUGAAUUGGCGGGG
rnacentral:rRNA from 1 species